rnacentral:misc_RNA from 1 species
UUUCCGUAGGUGAACCUGCGGAAGGAUCAUUAACGAGUUAAGGUCUUCUAGGCCCGACCUCCCAACCCUUUGUUUACUGAACCAUUGUUGCCUCGGUGGGUCCGUCUUACGACCGCCGGGGGAUCGCCGCGAGGCGCCCCCUGGCCAGCGCCCACCGAUAGCCCAACCUUUAAAACCCUUUGUGAAUCGUGUCUUAUGUCUAAAUUUAUGAUUAAACAAUCAAAACAAAACUUUCAACAACGGAUCUCUUGGUUCUG